rnacentral:rRNA from 1 species
UCAAGCUAAAAAGAGCGCAGGGUGAAUGCCUUGGCAUUAGGAGCCGAAGAAGGACGCGGUAAGCUGCGAAAAGCUGCGGGGAACAGCAAGCAUGUAUUGAUCCGCAGGUGUCCGAAUGGAGCAAUCCGUCAGGAGUAAAGUCCUGACAUCAUAUACUGAAUAAAUAGGUAUAUGAGGGGAACCGCCUGAACUGAAACAUCUAAGUAGGGCGAGGAAAAGAAAUCAACCGAGAUUCUGUGAGUAGUGGCGAGCGAAAGCGGAAGAGGGCAAACCGCCGGUAGAAAUACCGGCGGGGUAUGGACCGCAUAUAGUAUUCUUGAAAGUUAGGAGAAGCGAAUGGGAAGUCGCGCCGAAGAGCAUGAGAGCUGCGUAUCCGAAAACAAGAGAGAGCUAGCGGUAUCCGGAGUACCGCGGGGCACGUGAAAUCCCGUGGGAAAAUGGGGGGACCAUCCUCCAACCCUAAAUACUACCUAAUGACCGAUAGCGAACAGUACUGUGAAGGAAAGGUGAAAAGAACCCCGGGAGGGGAGUGAAAAAGAACCUGAAACCCUGUGCUUACAAGCACUGAGAGCACGUCAAUGUGUGAUCAGGUACCUAUUGUAGAAUGGUCCGGCGAGUUAUGGUAUGCAGCAAGAUUAAGCGCUUAAGGCGCGGAGUCAAAGCGAGAGCGAGUCUGAAAAGGGCGAAAAAGUUGUAUGCUAUAGACCCGAAACCGAGUGACCUAGCCAUGUCCAGGUUGAAGUGGAGGUAAAACUCCAUGGAGGACCGAACCGACCUCCGUUGAAAAGGCGGCGGAUGAGGUGUGGCUAGCGGAGAAAUUCCAAUCGAACUCGGAUAUAGCUGGUUCUCUCCGAAAUAGCUUUAGGGCUAGCGUUGCAUAUGAUUACCGGAGGUAAAGCACUGAAUAGGCUAGGGGGCGAGAGCUUACCGAACCUUAUCAAACUCAGAAUGCCGGAUAAUUUAAAGUGCAGCAGUCAGACAGUGUGAGAUAAGUUUCAUUGUCGAAAGGGAAAGAGCCCAGACCCACAGCUAAGGUCCCCAAAUACAUUUAAGUGGAAAAGGAUGUGGGGUUGCGUAAACAACCAGGAUGUUGGCUUAGAAGCAGCCAUACAUUAAAAGAGUGCGUAAUAGCUCACUGGUCGAGUGACCCUGCGCCGAAAAUUCAACGGGGCUAAAAUGUAUACCGAAGCUUGGGCUGACGGUCAAUUAACAAUUAACAAUUAACAAUGAACAAUUAAAGUUUAUUGGAGGUUGAAGUUAAUUGAAAGAUAAUGUAAUUUUAGAAAAGAGCAUGGAAUUUGCGGUAAGAACAGUAAGUCUGUAUAAAUAUUUGUGUGAGGAAAAACAUGAAUAUGUAUUAUCAAAGCAGAUAUUAAGAAGCGGAACAAGCAUAGGAGCUAAUGUCCGCGAAGGGAUAUACGGAUACAGCAGGAAUGAUUUUACGGCAAAAAUGCAGAUAGCGUUAAAAGAAGCUUCAGAAACUGAAUACUGGGACGGAACUUCUGAAGAGAACAGGGUAUAUAUCAGAAUGUGAAUAUGAAAGUAUUCAGAAAGAUAAUUCGGAAAUAUGCAAAAUAUUAACAGCUAUACUAAAAAGUACAAAAAGCAAUUAAAAUUACUGUGCAAUUAAUAAUUAAAAUCUGUAAAACAGAGGCGUAAUUGUUAAUUGUUCAUUGUUAAUUGUUAAUUGACCGUCGGGGUAGGAGAGCGUCGUAUAAGAGGCGAAGCCGGAGCGAAAGCGGCGGUGGAUUUUAUACGAGUGAGAAUGCCGGAAUGAGUAGCGAGAAUUAUGUGAGAAUCAUAAUGGCCGAAAAUCUAAGGUUUUAGGAGGAAGGUUCGUCCGCUCCUAGUAAGCCGGGAGCUAAGGUGAGGCGGAAACGCGUAGCCGAUGCACAUACGGUUGAAAUUCCGUAGCCGCCGAAGGAUUUAAGCAGAGGGACACUUUGAAAGUGAUGAAGCCGGGCGUUGGUUGCCCCGGCCGUAAGGGACCGAAAUUAUAGUAGGGAAGUCAUCAUGGACGAAGGCAAGAAAAGCUCUGUGAAUAUCCGAGGCGCCCGUACCGCAAACCGACACAGGUAGAUAGGAAGAGAAUUCUAAGGCCAACGGGAGAAGGGUAGUUAAGGAACUCGGCAAGUUGACCCCGUAACUUAGGAAGAAGGGGUGCUGAGCGAGGAAUGAGGAUUCAGGAGGAAGGCAUGAGGAAUGCUCAGGAAGGAUUCAGAGGAUUGAAGGUAUAUCAGAAAGCAUACGGUUUGGUAAAGGAAGUAUAUGAAACAGUAAAAACAUUACCGGAAUCGGAAAGAUAUAACAUAAGUUCUCAGAUCAAAAGAGCAGCCACAAGUGUUUCACUGAAUAUAGCGGAAGGAUAUGCAAAGAAGGAAUACAGCAAGGCUGAUUAUAUUCGAUUUUUGCUCAUAUCCAAAGGUUCCGCGUAUGAAACAGAAGUAUUGCUUGAUUUGUGCAGAGAUUUUGGGUAUAUGCCGGAAGAAAAGCACGAUGAAAUGAUAGUAAAGUAUGAAGAGGUAGUAAGGAUGAUAAGCGGUUUGAUAAAAUCCCUUAAUCCUGAUACCUGAAUCCUGAUUCCUCGCUCAGCCGCAGAGAAUAGGCCCAGGCGACUGUUUAGCAAAAACACAGCUCUAUGCUAAAUCGAAAGAUGAUGUAUAUGGGGUGACACCUGCCCGGUGCCGGAAGGUUAAGAGGAGGAGUGAGAGCUCUGAAUUGAAGCCCCGGUAAACGGCGGCCGUAACUAUAACGGUCCUAAGGUAGCGAAAUUCCUUGUCAG